GCCCGGGGCUGGUGGGUGCCGAGAUGGGCGGCUGCUCCGAGCCGGCCAAGGCUUAGGAGGCAUCCGCGGGAGACCCGGUGCUGGGGCAGCUCAGGGCUGGAGGCUGCAAUGCUGGCCAUUUCCACAGAUCUGAAAGCUGCCGAGGUUGGAUAGCCGCGAUCUCCCGUCUCUCCCUGGAAUUCCCCCCGGAAACGCCAAAAUGCAAGGGAUGUUUUUGUGAACCCCCGUCUGAUGCCCAUUCCCCACCCCGGCUCACCAAGAUGAAAAGACCUCGCAGGCCUUGGGAAGGAGGCAGCCAGCACAGGGAGGCAGGCCUGACAUUGAGUGACCCCGGAUCCUGGACUCUCCAAUCCCAGCCCAACCGCUUGUCAGAACUACCGUCUUGAGCUUCAGCCUCAGCCUCCCUUUAUUAGAUGCCAGUCGGCCACAAAGUAUGGGAGGAGGGAAUUGCUGUGCUCCAGGGGAACGGGGGGAACCGAAACUAUGCAUCACGCCGUCCUGAGACAUCGACUCAUCGCUCCAAAGCCAAAGGCCUGAAAGGGGAAGUACAAGGCUCACCAGCGCAGAGAAGAGCAAGAAAGAGGAUGAGGGGACUGGAGGCUAAAAGAUAUGAAGAAUGGUUGCUGGAACUGGGCAGGUCUAGUCUAGACAAAAGAAGGGUUUACAUAAGGUUUACUAAACUGGAUAAGCAAAUACUAUUAUUAUUAUUUGAUCAUUAAUGUUAUUAUUAUAUUAUAUAUAAUAAUAUAAUUAUAUUACUACUACUUCUUAAAAUUAACUGUACCCAGACAACACCCUGUUUAUGUAAUUGUUACAUUGAAUUGUUACAUUGAAUAAAUUGAAUUGUUUAUGUUUAAUUUAAAAAAAA